CUGGAAGCACUUCAAGUCAUCAUCGAAACCAUAGACAGUUGUCAGUUCCUGUUGUUACUCUGGGCUGUGAGUGGGCCACACCCGGGGAACACUCUCCAAGGUCCUUCAGACUGGGCAGCCACUUAGUCCUCAAGUCAUGUGGUGUUAGCACGGAGAUGAGAAAGAGAGAAAGACAACAUCAUGCUUUGCUGUCUGUGUGUGAACUGAGUAACAGCUGUGAAGGAUCAGUCACCAAAAGACUUUGAAAGAAGAGGCUUGAUUGGUCACGGUAAUGAUGCUCCCCUGGCCAUGGAAGUUUAAUUGGGAGAAAAGAACAUCUGCUUAUACGAAAACAUAUUAUAUUCAGCCAUCCCUGCCCUGACUUUGGCCUUUAAAAACAGUGGCAUUAAUUAUCUCAACAAAUGAA
rnacentral:lncRNA from 10 species